UACGGGGGGGGCAAGCGUUGUUCGGAAUUACUGGGCGUAAAGGGCUCGUAGGCGGCCAACUAAGUCAGACGUGAAAUCCCUCGGCUUAACCGGGGAACUGCAUCUGAUACUGGAUGGCUUGAGUUCGGGAGAGGGAUGCGGAAUUCCUGGUGUAGCGGUGAAAUGCGCAGAUAUCAGGAGGAACACCGGUGGCGAAGGCGGAUCUCUGGGCCUUACCUGACGCUGAGGCGCGAAAGCUAGGGGAGCGAACAGG
rnacentral:rRNA from 1 species